CCAUGGUACAAUCUAUGACCACGAUCGUACCAACCAUAGUAGUCCUAACAGAUAACUAUAGCCAUGACAUUACUUAGCUACGGGUGACUCCUAUAAAUACCCUCUCGUUAGAGGACACACCGUCAUCCACUGAGAGCGAUCCUCUUACAUCUUUCUAGAUCAGAUAGGAGAGGAAAAAAUAGAUACCCUUAAGGGCAAGGAGAACAGAUACCCCUUAGAGAUAAAAAGUCUAACGAGACACUUGAUGCUAUAUGCAUGUUAAUAUUGAUACACUUCGGACCAUACAGGCUUCAUUCCGCUUUUCUCUCUUCUUUUUUUACUUUUACUCUUACCGAUUACAUAUUAUAUUUAUUACAUGCAAAUUCAUCAAGUGUUUGUAAUUCAUAUAAUAUGCUUGAAAACCAUAACAAUUCGACUCAUUUGAACAUAGAG
rnacentral:lncRNA from 1 species